CCUAACACAUGCAAGUCGAACGGUAACAGGAAGAAGCUUGCUUCUUUGCUGACGAGUGGCGGACGGGUGAGUAAUGUCUGGGAAACUGCCUGAUGGAGGGGGAUAACUACUGGAAACGGUAGCUAAUACCGCAUAACGUCGCAAGACCAAAGAGGGGGACCUUCGGGCCUCUUGCCAUCGGAUGUGCCCAGAUGGGAUUAGCUAGUAGGUGGGGUAACGGCUCACCUAGGCGACGAUCCCUAGCUGGUCUGAGAGGAUGACCAGCCACACUGGAACUGAGACACGGUCCAGACUCCUACGGGAGGCAGCAGUGGGGAAUAUUGCACAAUGGGCGCAAGCCUGAUGCAGCCAUGCCGCGUGUAUGAAGAAGGCCUUCGG
rnacentral:rRNA from 1 species